rnacentral:rRNA from 1 species
CGGGAAGAGCUCAAAUUUAAAAUCUGGCGGCUUCGCCGUCCGAGUUGUAAUUUAGAGAAGCGUUUUCCGCGCCGGACUGUGUACAAGUCUCCUGGAACGGAGCGUCAUAGAGGGUGAGAAUCCCGUCUUUGACACGGACUACCGGUGCUCUGUGAUACGCUCUCGAA